AGCUGCCUCGGUGAAGGACGCAGUCCCGCCUCCUAAGCGGGUUCAUCAGGGUUCGACUCCCUGCGAGGCUAC
rnacentral:tRNA from 2 species